rnacentral:lncRNA from 1 species
GUAUGAGGAUUUUUUAUUCCUCUGGAGGAACCAAGGGGUCUGGGACACAGCGGCUCAGUGGAAGGAAGAACACAUCUUCCAUGGGUGAGAGGGCAGUGAGGACCCAUGCGAAGGGUAACAUUGUGUUUCCUCCCAUCUCCGCUUUCCCUGGUGUGUACAUAUGUAUACGUGCAGAUGGCUAUGUGCUUGCACACCUGCACAUACAAGAUUUUCAAAAGAUACAAAUUUAGGCUUGGGGAGGUCUCUGCAUAUUUGCUGGAGCGGCUCAACACAGGCAACAGGACAUGGGAUGACAGCGCAUAUUUGUCUGCCUUUCUGUGGAGUUUGGCUUUCCAAAGGAGCGUUUCUGUAUCAGCACAUCUGAGAAACAGCAGUCACUUUGGUAAUGCUGACCCUGAGGAAGAGUCACAAAAACUAGUAAUCUCCCUGGAUGGUGAGCCUUCAGUUCAUGAUCCUUGGUUUUCAGCCUUAGCAUACCGGCAUAGCCAGGAAGAGUCUUUCUCUUUUAGUAAUUUUCUAUUUUAAAACUGAUUUGAUUAAAGUGGGAGACUAAAAGUGCUGAGAAAAAAAAAAAAAAAAAAAAAGAAAAGCAGUCCUUUCUCAAAGAUUAGUAGGUAAAUUGCUUGUCACAGAAAGCUCCUACAGUACCUCUGCAUUAGCUCAGCCUCCCUUCUCCAUAAGCCUUGUGAAGAUUUUAGGUGGCAGGCAGCCCUUGCCUGGACAGAGCCAUAGUGUGUUUUUUGCAAGCUGAUACCUUGCAACCUGUAGGUAAUUAAAAACGUUCCCAUUUGGUAGGCUUGAUUGCUCUGAAGGUUUCAAUCUGCGGGCUUUUUGUGGGUAAAUUCCCCUCAAACCAUGUGGCUGCUCUCAGGGCUGAUGGUCAUUCAGGCAGCUGUGAUGGUGACAACAAGUUGAAUAUGAGCCAGCAGUGUGCCCUGGCAGCCAGGAGGGCCAACCGUAUCCUGGGGUGCACCAAGCACGGCAUUGCUAGUUGGUCAAGGGAAGCGAUUGUCCUGCUCUGCUCUGCACUGGUGCGGCCUCACCUCGAGUACUGUGUGCAGUUCUGGGCACCACAGUACAAAAAGGACGUGAAACUGUUGGAGAGUGUCCAGAGAAG